rnacentral:rRNA from 1 species
UACGGAGGGUGCAAACGUUGCUCGGAAUCAUUGGGCGUAAAGCGCACGUAGGCGGUUUGUUAAGUCGGGUGUGAAAGCCCUCGGCUCAACCGAGGAAGUGCAUUCGAAACUGGCAAGCUGGAGUACUGGAGAGGAUGACGGAAUUCCCGGUGUAGAGGUGAAAUUCGUAGAUAUCGGGAGGAACACCAGUGGCGAAGGCGGUCAUCUGGACAGAUACUGACGCUGAGGUGCGAAAGCGUGGGGAGCAAACAGG